CCACAGGCUAUAACCAAAAUAAAGUAAGAAAACCUAAAAUAUUAUACCAUUUAACUCUUUCAACUUCUCAAAGCCUCAAUCCUUUUUUCUCAUUUUCUAUUUUUCAGCAGGGACGGUGACUGAACGCAGAAGCAGAUCUGGAGGGAGAUGGGCAACUGGAGAGUGGAGAGAGGCUGAGAGGCCAAAUGGACGAGGGACGAGAGUGGUGGUUGCCUGGGUGGGUCUCGAGUUAGUUUUUCUUUUUCCGGCUUGCCCAACUUGAAGCAGUCCAGUUUUUUUAAAAAACCGGUCCGACCAAUUUUUAUUGGUUUUUUCGGUUUACAAUUUGCGGUUCAAUUGCGAUUUUUUCAAUUCUCGAUCUGAACAUUUUUUAUUAGUGUUUGGACCAAUUCCCAAACGAUCAAUUAAUUCAGUUGGAUUCAAACAUCAUUUUUAGGUACAAAAGAAGAUUGAACUCCCAUGGGGAAACAAUACAAUUAGCGGGGUAUAAACUGCUUUUAGAUUUAUUUUUUUUAAUUUAAUGACUGCAC
rnacentral:lncRNA from 1 species